rnacentral:tRNA from 1 species
GCCCCCAUAGUCUAGUGGCCUAGGACGCCUCCCUUUCAAGGAGGAGAGCAGGGGUUCGAAUCCCCUUGGGGGUACCU